UCAUGAUGACCACCAGGAGCUGUGACGGCCAAAUUCGGGGGGUGACGUCACCGAACCCUACCGUGGAAAAGGUGACGAUGCAGAAGUAGAAGGAGUUGAACAGGGAGAGGUUUUUCCCUGCGCGCUCCAGGUGCUGGAUUCCACACGUGCUGUGCAGAGUAGACAUUGAGCGCAUUUGGCAAGCCAGCAGUUGAGAAAGACGGGGAUGAAGAUGUUCCUUAUGGAUGGCCAGAAGAUCUGAUGAGGAAAUGAUUAUUUUAUCGAAUCACACGGGUUUUUGGCUUGUGACUGCAAGGUCCUCAGUGGGGAAACAAAGGCGGCGUGGGUUGAUGGCUGCCCAGACGUCAAGUGCAGCAACUAUUUCUGGUCCCAGUGCACCAGAGAGCAGAGAGAACCCUUCAGAGAUGCAAGAGAUGCUCCACAAACAGCUGUCACAUAAGCAGAUGAGUGUUACCAGGGACAUCAAUCAUCCCACAUGUGGCUCCAUACGGUACCUCUGCCCUGCAUCACUACUCCAAGGAUCCGACCUCCAAGUGCCUACAGUCGGACUGAUCCAGGUCGGAAUGAUGAUCCUGGGAUCCAUGGUGAAGAACACCUGUGGCUAUGCGGUACGCUCCCUUAACCCUUUAGAAUGAUCUUAAGCGACUUAUUUAGCGACAAAUCCAAAAAUGCUCAUGAAGGAACUUGGGCACGAGAAGCAGAGCGAGAACACGACAAGUCAUUGUUUGGGGAGGAAAAACAAGCUUAUUGGAAUAUUUUUAGAAACGUAUACUGUCUCUCUCUCCUCCGACCAUCUCUCAAGCUGUUGCCACAGCAACAUUGCUACAGACUGUACAUGAAGGGAAAGUGGUGAUGCUGCAGCACUGUAGCUCCGCGCAGGGCUGCAAAGUGUGCUUUUGUAACUACAGCAUAGUCGGACAACGUACCACAAGUGCUCUUUGACAUUUCCUAAUAUGAAGACGGAACACAAGGAUUUUGCUGUGAUGGGUUUGUAAACAGAAAUAUCAGCACAUUUAGUUUAGAAGAGUGAUUCAUCACAUUUCAGGAACCAUUUUUAACACAGUAUAUCUUCUCAAGCCACAGAAAGGAAACCUGGGCACACUUUAGAGUAGUCAGUGUACAGAUUGCAAAGUGGUAUAGAUUUACAAUCCACUGAAAAUGACACAGCACACACAGCCAUUGUUGUCGAAAUAGGCGGAAACACAAGUCGUGCCUAUACAGUAAAGCAUGGUGGUGGCAGUGUGACGGUCUGGGGCUGCAUGAGUGCUGCCGGCACCGGGGGAGCUGUGGUUUAAUGAGGGACACACAAAUUCCAACAUGUGCUGUGACACUGUGAAGGCGAGCAUGAUGUCAUUUUCAUACUGCAAGCUGUACACUGACUACUCUAAGUUAUAUCCAAGUUUACGUACUUUCUAUAGAAGAUAUCAUAUAACGGUCGCUGCAAUGUGAGGCUCACACUCACUUUUGUCAGAUGUCCCUCUUACCCAUCUAACGCAGUAGCUGGCUGACCAACCCCCCCUGCCCUCCAUGAAUCAGCAGCCCCUUCACUCACAUCAUGUUAGUCAUGUCAACAUUGCACAUCCUGCCCAUGCAAUGUAAGACGUUUAUAUUUAUGGACACCUUGCUUGGGCAGACGAAGCCAUUUAACUAAACAGCUCCCUACCUACCCUUCAUUGCCCGCCUUUAGUAGCACAUUAUAAACUACUACAUCUGUAACGCUAAGGUGUCUGUACUGUGUCAUACCUGUCGUUCUGGAAGCUCUGGUCCCCGAGCAGCAGGUCUCGGAAGCGGAAGCGAGGCGGCAACGGUGGCACCUCACUCUCCAGCUGCUCCAUCUUCAACCUGGAGAUGUCCAAGAUCACCCCGCCGGUGCUGCUGAUGGUGUGGCGUGGUCCCUUGCAAGCGCUGGAGGAAAUGGUUUAAAAAGUUAAACCCACCAAAGAAAGUGGGGGUAAAGGGAGCCGUCAAGACCAGCUGGAAGGACAUAUGAGGAGAGGAAUGGACAGACACAGCUGGAGUAGCAAGUGACGACCCACUCGCUGCACAUUUUGCCCGAAGACCUGCGAGAUGUCGGCGGCGCUGAGUCCCCCCUGACAGAGUCCUCUUCCCGGGUCAGUUGCAUCGGAGGAACCUGGAGGAUAAGCGCAGAGAAGGCGAGCUCCUUCACCUCCUCAGGUGCAUCGAGGUGUGUUUGAUUUAACACUUUUCAAAAUGAAAAGUACAAAAAAUGCCUAUGAUGUGAUUUUUGAUGGGAGUUAAAUUGUCAUCAUGAUGCGAGGAGGGGUGCAGAAUGAUAGACAAGAAUGUGACAGACCGCUCAUAUACAGUAAUAAAAAAAAAAAUCUAAUCAUGACAAGUCUUAAAGCUUGACGAGGAGAGUUUUAGCACCAUCUGCCGGACAAUCGGGAGCACUGAAGCCAUUCACAAUUAAAUGGAAAAAGUGAAAAAUCAACGCUUCGGACAUGUGACAGUUUCUGCCAUUUUUGGCUCCUCCCGGGACCAACAAUGAGAGUGUGGGCGGUUUCCCUCAC